UACGUACUGGGCGAACGUUAUUCGGAAUCACUGGGCUUAAAGGGUGCGUAGGCGGUUUGGCAAGUCAGGUGUGAAAUCUCCCGGCUCAACCGGGGAACUGCGCUUGAAACUUCCAGACUGGAGUCAGCUAGGGGUCCGCGGAACUUCCAGUGGAGCGGUGAAAUGUGUUGAGAUUGGAAGGAACGCCGGUGGCGAAAGCGGCGGACUGGGGCUUGACUGACGCUGAGGCACGAAAGCCAGGGGAGCGAACGGG
rnacentral:misc_RNA from 1 species